rnacentral:ncRNA from 2 species
AGUUAAUAUCAAGAGUUGAGCCCGGCUCAACGCCAACCUGCUUCCGGGCAAGGUGGAGCUCCCAUUGCAGGAGGGAAGAUAUGGCCGAUCUGGCAACACCGGUUUUUAUC